UUUAAAGUGGUACGCGAGCUGGGUUUAGAACGUCGUGAGACAGUUCGGUCCCUAUCUGCCGUGGGCGUUGGAAGAUUGAAGGGGGCUGCUCCUAGUACGAGAGGACCGGAGUGGACGAACCUCUGGUGUUCGGGUUGUGUCGCCAGACGCAUUGCCCGGUAGCUAAGUUCGGAAUCGAUAACCGCUGAAAGCAUCUAAGCGGGAAGCGAGCCCUGAGAUGAGUCUUCCCUGAUACUUUAAGUAUCCUAAAGGGUUGUCGGAGACUACGACGUUGAUAGGUCAGGUGUGUAAGUGCUGUGAGGCAUUGAGCUAACUGAUACUAAUUGCCCGUGAGGCUUAACCAUACAACACCCAAGGGGUUU
rnacentral:rRNA from 1 species